rnacentral:rRNA from 1 species
AGUGAUCCUACGGGAGGCAGCAGUGGGGAAUAUUGCACAAUGGAGGAAACUCUGAUGCAGCGACGCCGCGUGAGUGAAGAAGGUCUUCGGAUCGUAAAACUCUGUCCUUGUUGAAGAAAAGGACGGUAGCCAAGGAGGAAGCCCCGGCUAACUACGUG